ACAUUUCGCGAGCGAACCCGCCGAGGAAUGGGAGGGAUGGAGGGGAGGAGGAGUAAAAAGGCCAUUUGCGGCGAAAAAUCAUUUGCGCUGGUCCAUAUUGUGUUUGUUCGUGCGGGUUUAUGGAGCUGUUGAUACGAGUGGUUUAACACAUCGCUCGGCAUAUCCUAAAAGAUUAUUCGUUCAUUGAGAAAGUUUACGAUUGGCAAGAGCGGUGAAAACUUCAACGAUUAUUAUGGAAAUGUACAUAUAAUGCGGUAGAAAAAAAAAAUGCGUAGCUUGUGAAAUUAUAUCUUAGAUUUUCAUCCUUUAUUUUUUAUUUCAAUGAUGGAUUGCAUCGAUUUAUAUUUAUCGUAACAACAUUAUCGAUGCGAUCAAAUUGUCUUUUGACAUUUAUCUUCUUUUAUCGCUGCGAUUUUGGUAUGAGCGUAAAUACUGUAAUACUGAUGGUACAAAUUUAAUGCGUCGUAACAGGAUGGCGGAUACGAAAGAUGAUGUAUAGGGUGAUCGAAUUGAAAACACACAAAUUACUGAUGUGCAAUAUAUGUAUCUAUAUAUCGCGCGAUAUAUAUAUAUAUAUAAUAAUGUAUAGGAAAGUAUCUCUUAAAGUACCGCAACACAUAUGUACAGUACAGAGUUCACGAUAAGUUUCCGUUAACUCUUUAUCGGCCGUUUAUAUAUACAUUGCCCGUACAUUCGUCUUCACGGAGAGAGGAGAUGCAUUUCGAUAUCAAGAACAAAUAAGAGACGUAAUAAAAAAAAAAAAAAAAAAAAAAAAAAAAA